AAACAUCCAUCAACUAAUGAAUGGAUAAAAAAUAUGGUAUACCCAACAGUGAGAUAUUAUUAAGCCAUAGAAAGGAAUGAAGUUUCUAUGCUUGCUACAGCAUGAACAUUGAAACCAUUACACUGAGUGAAAGAAGCCAGCGUGGCAGGUAAAGGGAUGCGAGCAAGGAGGAGACAUUGUGAUCUUGACUCCUUUUCCUUUGAGUAGAGGAUAAUUUGUCACAUUUUGGAAGGCAGUGCCUUUGAGCAGCUUCAUGAGCCUAGGAUCUGACUCUCUUAGGAAAGUUCCUUGGAAGAGCCUACAGGUGACAACAGUGUUGAACUUUAGGCAAGCCCUGUGAUACUGGAAAAUUGCAAAGGUUAAGAAAUGUCCCCACCCUUUUGUGUUCUGGGAAACAGCUCACUGCAAAGAACUCCCUUCCCCAUAUGACUUAGAUGAGACUCAUAGGUGCCCCCACUUGUUUACCUAUGACAAGGCCAGACCCAGAGCCUCCAAACUCCCUUUCUUUGUUUUUGUGGUUAGUUUAACUGCCUGUUUCCACUGGUCAGUCGGAACAAAGUGUUCGUUAACCUAACUUUGGUGUAGAGUCUCUCCUUUCCCCAGGUCCUGGCCCACCCUCAGCCUGAGCCAGCAGACAACUCCUCUUUACAGACCUUCCUGAUCAGCCCUCAACCACUGUCUGAUUGUGUCACUCUGAUCAUCCCAGCCCCCAACACCCACUUCUUUCUAACCUUGUUUAUGCCUCUUUAGCAAAGCAAAAUAUUUACUGCCUCAUCUUGAGACACUUGCAGAUUAAGUGGUCAGAACAUUCCCUCUACUGCAAUAAUCCUUUUGAAUAAAGUCUCUCCUAACUAAAUCUGAGGUUUUUUUUUGUUUGGCAGUAAAUUAAUGAAGCCAAAGAUCACGGGAGACCAUCUGCUUGUGUUUACCCAUGAGGCAGUGUGGCAUAGGCGAAUGGGUGCGAGUCUAGCCCUGCUAUUCCUGCCUGUGUAACCCUAGAGAGCCUUUCUAAUUACUCUCUGCCUCUGCUUCCUUACCUGUAAAAUGGGCUAAAUAAUGGUACCUGUGUCAGUUAAUAUUUGUGAAAUGCCUAAUAGAGCCUAUUCCAAACAAUUACUACAUCAGUCUUUUUAAAAAAUAAAACUGUGUCUUUAUUUUAAUUUUCAGAUGUUUCCACUCACAAUAUUGGUAAAUGUAGAGUUUGCCUCUACUGACUGUCAGCUGAACAUCUUGGUUAAGACUCAGACUGCCUGAUUCUUCUCUUCCACUUACAAGCCUUGGGAAAGUCACAUAUAACCAUGUGGAACCUCCACUUCCUCACAUGGAAGGACCCUCUCGCUAGAAACAUUUGGAUACAUGACAGUUCGCUUGCUCUGACCAAGGAGGAACAGCUGCCCAUACUCAGUUCCCUGGGUCUAAGAGACACUCAGACAACAUCUUUGUUAAAUUCAUUAUUUGCAAAGGCCUGGGCAGAAGACCAAAACAGAAAAAGAGCAGGAGAACCAAAUGACAACUCGGAGGAAAUGAUCAGGACUGAGAAGGAGAGGAGAAAAUCCAAGAGGCCAGACCCUCACGUGGACCCUAUUGUCUCUUCCUUCCAACCUCCCAGCCUAUAAACACCUGUGCUAAGCCCAGCUGCCCAGCCCAGGCCCCAUCUGUGGGUGAGGCCUGAGACUUUUCGACCUUGCCUUGGCUGAGCACCGUUAUUACCACAUGCCUAAGACCCGUGCUCCAAUGCAUCUAUCAGGAAUAAAGCUGAUGUCUUAAGCC
rnacentral:lncRNA from 1 species